UGGGGAAUUUUGCACAAUGGGGGAAACCCUGAUGCAGCGACGCCGCGUGAUUUAGAAGGCCUUCGGGUUGUAAAAAUCUUUUCUAUGGGAAGAAAAUGACAGUACCAUAGGAAUAAGGACCGGCUAAUUACGUGCCAGCAGCCGCGGUAAUACGUAAGGUCCGAGCGUUGUCCGGAAUCAUUGGGCGUAAAGGGUACGUAGGCGGGUAAGCAAGUUAGAAGUGAAAUCCUAUAGCUCAACUAUAGUAAGCUUUUAAAACAGCUCAUCUUGAGGUAUGGAAGGGAAAGUGGAAUUCCUAGUGUAGCGGUGAAAUGCGCAGAUAUUAGGAGGAAUACCGGUGGCGAAGGCGACUUUCUGGCCAUAACCUGACGCUGAGGUACGAAAGCGUGGGUAGCAAACAGG
rnacentral:rRNA from 1 species